rnacentral:rRNA from 1 species
AUUGAACGCUGGCGGCAUGCUUUAUACAUGCAAGUCGUGCGGCAGCGCGGGGGCAACUCUGCGGCGAGCGGCGAACGGGUGAGUAAUACAUAGGAACGUAUCCUGAAAUGGGGGAGUAGCUCGGCGAAAGCCGGAUUAAUACCGCAUACGCUCCACGGAGGAAAGCAGGGGAUCGCAAGACCUUGCGUUUCUGGAGCGGCCUAUGUCUGAUUAGCAGGUUGGCGGGGUAAGUANCCCACCAAGGCGACGAUCAGUAGCUGGUCUGAGAGGAUGAUCAGCCACACUGGGACUGAGACAC